GCUGAUCGCAUGGUGUUCUGGGAAAGCCUUUGCGGCAUGGGAUGGGGUCGCGUCCUAUCAGCUUGAUGGCGGGGUAACGGCCCACCAUGGCUUCGACGGGUAGCCGGCCUGAGAGGGCGACCGGCCACAUUGGGACUGAGAUACGGCCCAGACUCCUACGGGAGGCAGCAGUGGGGAAUAUUGCACAAUGGGCGCAAGCCUGAUGCAGCGACGCCGCGUGAGGGAUGGAGGCCUUCGGGUUGUAAACCUCUUUUGUUAGGGAGCAAGGCAUUUUGUGUUGAGUGUACCUUUCGAAUAAGCACCGGCUAACUACGUGCCAGCAGCCGCGGUAAUACGUAGGGUGCAAGCGUUAUCCGGAAUUAUUGGGCGUAAAGGGCUCGUAGGCGGUUCGUCGCGUCCGGUGUGAAAGUCCAUCGCUUAACGGUGGAUCCGCGCCGGGUACGGGCGGGCUUGAGUGCGGUAGGGGAGACUGGAAUUCCCGGUGUAACGGUGGAAUGUGUAGAUAUCGGAAAGAACACCA
rnacentral:rRNA from 1 species